rnacentral:lncRNA from 1 species
GAUAGAACCCGACACGUUUACGCACAAAAUUUCAACGAAAAAUUUCCCAGGGUAUUACAAUUUCAUUAUUUUAUAAUUAGAAUUAUGAGAAAAUUUUGAAUAAUGAUUAUACUUAAUGCGGACUUAUGUAUGAAUUUCAGUACCUUAAUAUUACUUUUAGAAGGAAAUAGUAUUAUAAUUGAUUUUAGCGUCUUAGUUGUCUUAUUUGUUG